rnacentral:rRNA from 1 species
ACGGAGGAUCCAAGCGUUAUCCGGAAUCAUUGGGUUUAAAGGGUCCGUAGGCGGUUUAAUAAGUCAGUGGUGAAAUCUGGUCGCUCAACGAUCAAACGGCCAUUGAUACUGUUAGACUUGAAUUAUUAGGAAGUAACUAGAAUAUGUAGUGUAGCGGUGAAAUGCUUAGAUAUUACAUGGAAUACCAAUUGCGAAGGCAGGUUACUACUAAUGGAUUGACGCUGAUGGACGAAAGCGUGGGGAGCGAACAGGAUUAGAUACCCUGGUAGUCCACGCCGUAAACGAUGGAUACUAGCUGUUGGGAGCAAUCUCAGUGGCUAAGCGAAAGUGAUAAGUAUCCCACCUGGGGAGUACGUUCGCAAGAAUG